rnacentral:rRNA from 1 species
CACACGGCUCAGUAACACGUGGCUAACCUACCCUUGAGACGGAGACAACCCCGGGAAACUGGGGCUAAUCCCAGAUAAAUGAGAACUCCUGGAAUGGGUUCUCAUCCAAAAGGCAUCGAGGCCAUGCUUCUUGAUGUCGCUCAAGGAUGGGGCCGCGGCCGAUCAGGCUGUUGGUGAGGCAACGGCUCACCAAACCUAUAACCGGUACGGGCCGCGGGAGCGGGAGCCCGGAGAUGGGAACUGAGACAAGGUCCCAGGCCCUACGGGGCGCAGCAGUUGCGAAAACUCCGCAAUGCACGAAAGUGUGACGGGGCUACCCCGAGUGCUGUCCGCUGAGGAUGGCUUUUCCCUGGUGUAAGGAGCCGGGGGAAUAAGGAGAGGGCAAGUCUGGUGUCAGCCGCCGCGGUAAUACCAGCUCUCCGAGUGGUGGGGAUGUUUAUUGGGCUUAAAGCGUCCGUAGCUGGCUUUUCAAGUCUCUCGUUAAAUCCAGCGAUUCAAUCGUUGGACUGCGGGAGAUACUGUUGGGCUUGGGGGCGGGAGAAGCCGACGGUAUUUCCGGUGUAGGGGUAAAAUCCUAUAAUCCCGGGAGGACCACCAGUGGCGUAGGCGGUCGGCUAGCACGCGCCCGACGGUGAGGGACGAAAGCUGGGGGAGCAAACC